AACGAACGCUGGCGGCAUGCCUAACACAUGCAAGUCGAACGAAGGCUUCGGCCUUAGUGGCGCACGGGUGCGUAACGCGUGGGAAUCUGCCCCUUGGUUCGGGAUAACAGUUGGAAACGACCGCUAAUACCGGAUGAUAUCGCGAGAUCAAAGAUUUAUCGCCAGGGGAUGAGCCCGCGUCGGAUUAGCUAGUUGGUGGGGUAAAGGCCUACCAAGGCGACGAUCCGUAGCUGGUCGGAGAGGAUGAUCAGCCACACUGGGACUGAGACACGGCCCAGACUCCUACGGGAGGCAGCAGUGGGGAAUAUUGGACAAUGGGCGAAAGCCUGAUCCAGCAAUGCCGCGUGAGUGAUGAAGGCCUUAGGGUUGUAAAGCUCUUUUACCCGGGAUGAUAAUGACAGUACCGGGAGAAUAAGCCCCGGCUAACUCCGUGCCAGCAGCCGCGGUAA
rnacentral:rRNA from 1 species